rnacentral:tRNA from 1 species
GCCCUCGGUGGCUCAGCUGGCUAGAGCGUCUGCCAUGUAAGCAGGAGAUCCGGGGUUCGAGUCCCGGUCGGGGCA